rnacentral:rRNA from 1 species
AACGGCAGCACGGACUUCGGUCUGGUGGCGAGUGGCGAACGGGUGAGUAAUGUAUCGGAACGUGCCCAGUAGCGGGGGAUAACUACGCGAAAGCGUAGCUAAUACCGCAUACGCCCUACGGGGGAAAGCAGGGGAUCGCAAGACCUUGCACUAUUGGAGCGGCCGAUAUCGGAUUAGCUAGUUGGUGGGGUAACGGCUCACCAAGGCGACGAUCCGUAGCUGGUUUGAGAGGACGACCAGCCACACUGGGACUGAGACACGGCCCAGACUCCUAUGGGAGGCAGCAGUGGGGAAUUUUGGACAAUGGGGGAAACCCUGAUCCAGCCAUCCCGCGUGUGCGAUGAAGGCCUUCGGGUUGUAAAGCACUUUUGGCAGGAAAGAAACGUCAUGGGCUAAUACCCCGUGAAACUGACGGUACCUGCAGAAUAAGCACCGGCUAACUACGUGCCAGCAGCCGCGGUAAUACGUAGGGUGCAAGCGUUAAUCGGAAUUACUGGGCGUAAAGCGUGCACAGGCGGUUCGGAAAGAAAGAUGCGAAAUCCCAGAGCUUAACUUUGGAACUGCAUUUUUAACUACCGAGCUAGAGUGUGUCAGAGGGAGGUGGAAUUCCGCGUGUAGCAGUGAAAUGCGUAGAUAUGCGGAGGAACACCGGUGGCGAAGGCAGCCUCCUGGGAUAACACUGACGCUCAUGCACGAAAGCGUGGGGAGCAAACAGGAUUAGAUAUCCUGGUAGUCCACGCCCU